GGCCAGGUGGUGUAGUGGUAGCACACCCCCAGCACUAUUGGGAGAGCCCAGGUUUGAUCCCUGGUCUGGCCA